GGAUCAUUACCGAGUUUACAACUCCCAAACCCUUAUGUGAACCGUACCUAUCGUUGCUUCGGCGGGAACGCCCCGGCGCCCUGCGCCCGGAUCCAGGCGCCCGCCGGAGACCCCAAACUCUUGUGUUUUUUUCAGUAUUCUCUGAGUGGCAAACGCAAAAAUAAAUCAAAACUUUUAACAACGGAUCUCUUGGCUCUGGCAUCGAUGAAGAACGCAGCGAAAUGCGAUAAGUAAUGUGAAUUGCAGAAUUCAGUGAAUCAUCGAAUCUUUGAACGCACAUUGCGCCCGUUAGCAUUCUAGCGGGCAUGCCUGUCCGAGCGUCAUUUCAACCCUCAGGGUCCCCGUUCCGGCGGGGAACCUGGUGUUGGGGAUCGGCCCGCCCCGUGCGGCGCCGUCCCCCAAAUUCAGUGGCGGUCUCGCUGCAGCCUCCCCUGCGUAGUAGUUACAACCUCGCAUCGGAGCUCAGCGCGGCCACGCCGUAAAACCCCCGACUUUCUGAACGUUGACCUCGGAUCAGGUAGGAAUACCCGCUGAACUUAAGCAUAUCAAUAAGCGGAGGAAAAGAAACCAACAGGGAUUGCCCC
rnacentral:rRNA from 1 species